rnacentral:rRNA from 1 species
UACGGUGGGAGCAAGCGUUGUUCGGAUUUACUGGGCGUAAAGGGCGCGUAGGCGGCCACCGCAAGUCGACUGUGAAAUCUCCGGGCUUAACCCGGAAAGGUCAGCCGAUACUGCGGGGCUAGAGUGCAGAAGGGGCAACUGGAAUUCUCGGUGUAGCGGUGAAAUGCGUAGAUAUCGAGAGGAACACCUGCGGCGAAGGCGGGUUGCUGGGCUGACACUGACGCUGAGGCGCGCAAGCUAGGGGAGCGAACGGG